GGUAAUGAGCGGCAGGAGGUGUGGGGAAGACGGAGUGGGGGAGGGUUAAUCGGAAUUGCUGGGGGUAAAGCGUGCGCAGGCGGGUGUGCAAGACGGAUGUGAAAUCCCCGGGCUUAACCUGGGAAUGGCAUUUGGGACUGCAAGGCUGGAGUGCGGCAGAGGAGACUGGAAUUCCUGGUGUAGCAGUGAAAUGCGUAGAUAUCAGGAGGAAUACCGAUGGCGAAGGCAGGUCUCUGGGCUGACACUGACGCUCAUGCACGAAAGCGUGGGGAGCAAACAGGAUUAGAUACCUGAGUAGUC
rnacentral:rRNA from 1 species